CAAAGCGUAGCUUAAGAUAAAGCACUUGGUUUACACCCAAAAGAUUUCAACUAUAUUGA
rnacentral:tRNA from 2 species